ncrna:Acinetobacter baumannii Naval-81 Pseudomonadales-1 RNA
CCCAUGCAGUUCAUCGCGCAUGGAUGGGAUAUGCAGGAAAUACAUACCAGAUUGGGAGUGAUGCCCCGCCAUUAAAAUAGAUCUGAAAGCUGAAACGUAAAAUACUGUGCCCAUCCAGUGAUUUUAUAAAGUAAGUGAGUAGCGGUAGGCCACAGUACUGUUAUAAAGCUGUGG